CACGUAGGUGGCUAGCGUUAUUCGGAUUUACUGGGCGUAAAGGGUCCGCAGGGGGCCUGGCAAGUCUGCCGUGAAAGGCCGGGGCUCAACCCCGGCACUGCGGUGGAAACAGCCGGGCUGGAGUCAGUGAGGGGCAGACGGAACACCUGGUGUAGCGGUGGAAUGCGUGGAUAUCAGGUGGAACACCUAUGGCGAAGGCGGUCUGCUGGCACAUGACUGACCCUCAUGGACGAAAGCGUGGGUAGCAAACAGGAUUAGAUACC
rnacentral:rRNA from 1 species